rfam:Marinobacter santoriniensis NKSG1 contig00014, whole genome shotgun sequence.
GCGGGAAUAGCUCAGUUGGUAGAGCACAACCUUGCCAAGGUUGGGGUCGCGAGUUCGAAUCUCGUUUCCCGCU